AUUUGUCGUGUAGCAUUACGUUCGAAAUCGCAAUUUGUUUUCUUCUUUGUGGGUGUAUAUUUCUGGUUAACGAAACUAUAACCCAAUUUAAUGCAAUGUUCGUCUGUUUUUGUUGACUUUGACCCUUUUUUGGUAAUAUUCGUUCAGCUUUUGUUUUAACGUUUUCAUUGCCUUGUAGGCAUCUGAGAAGCUCAGAUUCUGACACGUGUCUUUUGUUAUCUGAAUUUGCAUCCGUUGGAUAAACAUGACGCUGACAGGUGGAUUGAAAAGUAACCAGCUUGGAUUUCUGUGUAUAUGUUACACCGCCACUUCCCUUAAU